rnacentral:rRNA from 1 species
UACGAAGGGGGCUAGCGUUGCUCGGAAUGACUGGGCGUAAAGGGCGCGUAGGCGGCCAGCACAAGUCAGUUGUGAAAUCUCCGAGCUUAACUCGGAAAGGUCAACUGAUACUGUGCGGCUAGAGUGCGGAAGGGGCAACUGGAAUUCUUGGUGUAGCGGUGAAAUGCGUAGAGAUCCGGAGGAACACCGACGGCGCAGGCAGCGUCCUGGCCGCUUGCUGACACUGAGGCACGAAAGCUGGGGGAGCAAACAGG